UACGUAGGGUGCGAGCGUUAUUCGGAAUUACUGGGCGUAAAGCGUGCGCAGGCGGCUUUGUAAGUCAGAUGUGAAAGCCCCGGGCUUAACCUGGGAAUGGCAUUUGGGACUGCAAGGCUUGAGUGCGGCAGAGGAGACUGGAAUUCCUGGUGUAGCAGUGAAAUGCGUAGAUAUCAGGAGGAAUACCGAUGGCGAAGGCAGGUCUCUGGGCUGACACUGACGCUCAUGCACGAAAGCGUGGGGAGCAAACAGG
rnacentral:rRNA from 1 species